UUCUUUACAGAAUUUACAUCUCUUCUCUGAGAGGGUAAAUCCCCUUUUCUCUCCUCUGGUAGCUCUGAGAGGGGAAUGGGGAAGGGAGUGGCUUCACCAAAUCUUGUGGCCUGCCCAUGGAUCACCAAAGCAAAGCUGGGAAGGAGAUUCUCUUGCAGUCUAGAUCUGACCGAGUGCUCCAGCCGCACGCGGAUUUUGCGGCGCCCGGCAGCGAGACCGCAUCUCGUCGUUGCUGAUCUGCAGAGGCAAAAGCGGUCGCCGGGAGGCCACGGGAGAGUAUAAGAGAUUGCUCUCCGGUUCGUGGCGCUGGGACCAUGAGCUAUGUCGUCCGAUUGAACGACGUCGUCCGUGGCAGAGAGGGGGAGUCAAACGUGGAGGCAAGCUGUGGGCUUCCUAGUUGCUACUGCUUUCGGCUUCCACCUAUGUAAUGUGUGCUACAACUUUGCAUCAUUCCUACAUCCCUCCACAUCAGCUUAUUCUUCAUAGAUGAGAGCUAGUUGGGACCUCAGCAGGUCGGUCUUGACUUCAUUGGGCAUCGAGUUGCACGAUGAUGUCGCAGCUUUGAAUGAAUAUCGAUGUUUGUACGGCAUCGUGUCGCAGAAUCACAUGCUUCAAUUUGUAGCACCCUGACUAUGCUUAAUGGCUUGGAUAAUUCCAGUGGAAUGGCUGUAGGGUUACCUCC